AGGGGCAGCAUGGUCUUAGCUUGCUAAGGCCGAUGGCGACCGGCGCACGGGUGAGUAACACGUAUCCAACCUGCCGUCUACUCUUGGACAGCCUUCUGAAAGGAAGAUUAAUACAAGAUGGCAUCAUGAGUCCGCAUGUUCACAUGAUUAAAGGUAUUCCGGUAGACGAUGGGGAUGCGUUCCAUUAGAUAGUAGGCGGGGUAACGGCCCACCUAGUCUUCGAUGGAUAGGGGUUCUGAGAGGAAGGUCCCCCACAUUGGAACUGAGACACGGUCCAAACUCCUACGGGAGGCAGCAGUGAGGAAUAUUGGUCAAUGGGCGAGAGCCUGAACCAGCCAAGUAGCGUGAAGGAUGACUGCCCUAUGGGUUGUAAACUUCUUUUAUAAAGGAAUAAAGUCGGGUAUGCGUACCCGUUUGCAUGUACUAUAUGAAUAAGGAUCGGCUAACUCCGUGCCAGCAGCCGCGGUAAUACGGAGGAUCCGAGCGUUAUCCGGAUUUAUUGGGUUUAAAGGGAGCGUAGAUGGAUGUUUAAGUCAGUUGUGAAAGUUUGCGGCUCAACCGUAAAAUUGCAGUUGAUACUGGAUAUCUUGAGUGCAGUUGAGGCAGGCGGAAUUCGUGGUGUAGCGGUGAAAUGCUUAGAUAUCACGAAGAACUCCGAUUGCGAAGGC
rnacentral:rRNA from 1 species